GAGGACCGUAUUCAUGGAAGAGGAUUGAACAGAGAUGAAGUAGACAGUAUGUUGGAUAAAUCUGGAGUAAAGAACCCAGCAAUUGGUAAAGAUGAGAAUAUAUCGCCUCAAGUAAAAGGAGAUGAAGACAUGGGAGAUGAAAUUGACAGUAUGUUGGCUACAUUUGGAGAUGUGUGCAGCUGAACAGAGCGUUGAGGAAACGUCAGUGAUUUUAUAACUACUUAUCAUGUUGGGAGAUUGUUGUGAUGAUUGCCUGGACUCUCAGAUGUUACACAGGCUGCAUCAUUGGACUGAAAGUGAAUGGCCCAUGUGUUGCCACUGAUGUGAGCCAUUUGCCUGUUGUGCUUCA
rnacentral:precursor_RNA from 1 species